GUUGUUGCGGUUAAAAAGCUCGUAGUUGGAUCUCGGCGGCCAGGGGGUGGUUCGCUCUACGGCGUUACUGCCCCAUUUGGCCGUGUGAUUGGCGGAGGUUUCGGGGUGCUCUUCGCUGAGUGACCCGGGGCGCCGUCAGGUUUACUUUGAAAAAAUUAGAGUGCUCAAAGCAGGCUUUCACGCUUGAAUAUUCGUGCAUGGAAUAAUGGAAUAGGAACUCGUUUCUAUUUGUUGGUUUUCGGAAAUCGAGUUAAUGAUUAAUAGGGACAAUUGGGGGCAUUAGUAUUCAGACGACAGAGGUGAAAUUCUUGGACCGUCUGAAGACUAACUACUGCGAAAGCAUUUGCCAAGAGUGUUUUCAUUAAUCAAGAACGAAAGUUAGAGGUUCGAAGGCGAUCAGAUACCGCCCUAGUUCUAACCAUAAACGAUGCCAGCUAGCGAUCUGCCGAGUUUUUUUUGUAGGCUCUGCAGGAAGCUUUCGGGAAACCAAAGCUUUUGGGUUCCGGGGGAAGUAUGGUUGCAAAGCUGAAACUUAAAGGAAUUGACGGAAGGGCACCACCAGGAGUGGAGCCUGCGGCUUAAUUUGACUCAACACGGGAAAUCUCACCAGGCCCGGACACUGGGAGGAUUGACAGAUUGAGAGCUCUUUCUCGAUUCCGUGGGUGGUGGUGCAUGGCCGUUCUUAGUUGGUGGA
rnacentral:rRNA from 1 species